rnacentral:rRNA from 1 species
AUUGAACGCUGGCGGCAUGCCUUACACAUGCAAGUCGAACGGCAGCACGGGAGCAAUCCUGGUGGCGAGUGGCGAACGGGUGAGUAAAGUAUCGGAACGUGCCCAGUCGUGGGGGAUAACGUAGCGAAAGUUACGCUAAUACCGCAUACGAUCUAUGGAUGAAAGCGGGGGAUCGCAAGACCUCGCGCGAUUGGAGCGGCCGAUAUCAGAUUAGGUAGUUGGGGGGGUAAAGGCUCACCAAGCCGACGAUCUGUAGCUGGUCUGAGAGGACGACCAGCCACACUGGGACUGAGACACGACCCAGCCUCCUACGGGAGGCAGCAGUGGGAAAUUUUGGACAAUGGGCGAAAGCCUGAUCCAGCCAUGCCGCGUGCAGGAUGAAGGCCUUCGGGUUGUAAACUGCUUUUGUACGGAACGAAAAGGUUUGGCCUAAUAAGCUGAGCUCAUGACGGUACCGUAAGAAUAAGCACCGGCUAACUACGUGCCAGCCGCCGCCGUAA